CCCAGACUCCUACGGGAGGCAGCAGUGGGGAAUAUUGCACAAUGGGGGAAACCCUGAUGCAGCGACGCCGCGUGAGUGAAGAAGUAUUUCGGUAUGUAAAGCUCUAUCAGCAGGGAAGAAAAUGACGGUACCUGACUAAGAAGCCCCGGCUAACUACGUGCCAGCAGCCGCGGUAAUACGUAGGGGGCAAGCGUUAUCCGGAUUUACUGGGUGUAAAGGGAGCGUAGACGGCCAGACAAGUCAGAAGUGAAAGGCCCGGGCCCAACCCUGGGACUGCUUUUGAAACUGGCGGGCUGGAGUGCAGGAGAGGUAAGCGGAAUUCCUAGUGUAGCGGUGAAAUGCGUAGAUAUUAGGAGGAACACCAGUGGCGAAGGCGGCUUACUGGACGGUAACUGACGUUGAGGCUCGAAAGCGUGGGGAGCAAACAGGAUUAGAUACCCUUGUAA
rnacentral:rRNA from 1 species